GUGGACAUGAUGGAGUGGUUAUCGGGCAUGACUUGAUAUCAUGUGGUCUCUACCCGUGCAGGUUCGAAUCAUGUCGUCCACA
rnacentral:tRNA from 1 species